rnacentral:lncRNA from 1 species
UGGCCGAUCAAUGCAUGUGCAUCUAUGAAUAGAUUCUUAACAAAUUAUUUCUCUAAACAACUUCUAGUAAUUAAUUUUAUCAUAGAUUUCAUUCCAGUAGGUUAGGGCCCCCACUAAAAGUUCUGGUUAGGUCCAACUAUUAAUAUGACCAUACUCAACCCAUCUAACCAACAAAUGAUCAAGUCCAACUAUGAUCGGUCAACCUGACCAUCCAUCAGAG